AACAGGAUUAGAUACCCUGGUAGUCCACGCUGUAAACGAUGUCGACUUGGAGGUUGUGCCCUUGAGGCGUGGCUUCCGGAGCUAACGCGUUAAGUCGACCGCCUGGGGAGUACGGCCGCAAGGUUAAGACUCAAAUGAAUUGACGGGGGCCCGCACAAGCGGUGGAGCAUGUGGUUUAAUUCGAUGCAACGCGAAGAACCUUACCUACUCUUGACAUCCAGAGAAUUUAGCAGAGAUGCUUUAGUGCCUUCGGGAACUCUGAGACAGGUGCUGCAUGGCUGUCGUCAGCUCGUGUUGUGAAAUGUUGGGUUAAGUCCCGCAACGAGCGCAACCCUUAUCCUUUGUUGCCAGCACGUAAUGGUGGGAACUCAAAGGAGACUGCCGGUGAUAAACCGGAGGAAGGUGGGGAUGACGUCAAGUCAUCAUGGCCCUUACGAGUAGGGCUACACACGUGCUACAAUGGCAUAUACAAAGAGAAGCGAACUCGCGAGAGCAAGCGGACCUCAUAAAGUAUGUCGUAGUCCGGAUUGGAGUCUGCAACUCGACUCCAUGAAGUCGGAAUCGCUAGUAAUCGUAGAUCAGAAUGCUACGGUGAAUACGUUCCCGGGCCUUGUACACACCGCCCGUCACACCAUGGGAGUGGGUUGCAAAAGAAGUAGGUAGCUUAACCUUCGGGAGGGCGCUUACCACUUUGUGAUUCAUGACUGGGGUGAAGUCGUAACAAGGUAACC
rnacentral:rRNA from 1 species